UGUUAAGGAUAAAGCCAUGGAGAGAUUUAAGGGAGAAAAGGUCCAAAAUGCGUCCGGAUACAUUGUCUAGGUUCAUGCCUAGACAUUUGGCCGAAAAUUGUGAAUAAAAUCAGAUUAAAUCAUGGAAAAUUCAGCAACAAAAUAUUAGGGAUUGAUUUUGGAGCUUUUUGAUUGGUUGGAUGACAUAGCAGAGCUGACGUGGCAUUAUUUGAUUGGUUAAUGCUGUGUGGAUCAAUCUUGAAGACUUGGAGACUAAGUUGCCAUCCUCCUAUAAAUAGGAGCAUUCUCUACACCACUUCUCACACAAUUCAAAACACACCUCUCUCCCUCAGAAAAUAAACAUCAGAAAAAUUCUUUCCAUUCUCUAGUCUUCAGAAGCUCUGCGUCUCAACCAAUGAGGAGAAGAAGUCAUGCAAUACAUCAAGAUCCUAGCCGCCAUCCACCCUUGUGCCGUCCCUAGAAGGUUGCUUGCUUUCAAGGAUCUUCAAGUUCUUCGUCUCAAGGCUUGUCAUCCAUCUUUCACGGUGGUUAAAUUACGUGCUUACUUUUAGCGUAUCACUGGUGGUGCCGGCCAGGUUCUUGCAAACGUGGUGGAGGCGUGGUGGCUGCUGCAGGUUGGAGCUUGGCUAGGGUUUGAGUGGUCUUUGAUCUGGGCUUUGUUUUGGGCCCAAACCUUAUGCUUGUUUGUUAUAUUUUGUCUAAUAAUGCUCCAUCUUUGCUGGCGGGUGUUGUGGGCCUUGUCCCUUUAUACCUUGUUCUUUUGGAUGUUACAAUGUUUUGUCCAAGGGCUGUUGGUUGACAUCCUCAAGUACGAAUGUGUAUGCAAUUUAUGGAUGAUGUGCCCAACUCCCAAGUAUAGGAGGUCAAGUUUUAAUAAAGCGAAAAAGUAAGAGUAUCGUA